CCCCACCCCUUUGCCAGCUCCCCUCCGCUGACCCGCUGCCGUUGCAGGUGCACAGCCUGGCGCUGCGCCCCGCCGGCCCCCACCUCCCCGCCCUCGCCAUGAAGCCCCCCGGCGGCCCCCCCCGGGCCGGCCCCCCCCGGGUCCCCCUACCCGAGACCCCCGGCGACCACCUCAAAAAGGCCGAGGGCCCCGAGGCCCGCACCCACCCCCUGGCCCGCGCCGCCGCCCCCGCAGCCGCCCACCCGCUCGUCGCCCCAGCCUACGCCCCGCUGCAGCCGCCCCAGUUCCUGCAGCAGCCGCCGAAGCCGAUGCAGCAGCAGUUCGUCAUCCAGCAGCAGCAGCAGCAGCAGCAGCUGGCGCCCCGCGGGCAGCCCCCCCCGGGGCCAGCCGCCCCCCAGCUCCAGCCGCUGCCCCCUGCCAGCCCCGGCCCGGUCCCCCCGCCCAAAGCAGGGGCCGGCCCGGGGGUCCCCCACGGGGCGGGGGCCGAUGGCGCCGCCCCCAACGGGCACCCCGGCUGCCACGGGGCCCCCCGCAAGUUCCAGCACGCCUCCGCUGUCAUCCUGCAGCUGCAGCCCGCCGGGGCCCUGACGCUGUCCCCGCCGCAGCCCCCGCUCAGCGUCCCCGAGGGCACCCGCCGGGACCCGCCGCCCGCCGAGAGGAGCGCCGAGAGCCCGCCCGCCGCCCCGCCGCAGCCCCCCGCCCUCUCGCCGCCCGCCGCCCCCCCGGGCCCCGAGGCCCCCCCGGGCGAGCGGCCCCCCGCUCACGGUAAGCGCCGGGGGGGGAACUGAGGCACGGGGGGGCGGGGCCGGCACCGGGGCCGCGGGGGGGCUGCGAGGCGAGACCCGAGGGCGCGGGGCUGGGGAUGCCCCGCCCCUCCUCGCAGCCCCGCCCCCUCAUUUACAUAGCCACGCCCAUCGCCCGC
rnacentral:lncRNA from 1 species